rnacentral:rRNA from 1 species
GAUGAACGCUGGCGGCGUGCCUAAUACAUGCAAGUCGAGCGAACAGACGAGGAGCUUGCUCCUCUGACGUUAGCGGCGGACGGGUGAGUAACACGUGGAUAACCUACCUAUAAGACUGGGAUAACUUCGGGAAACCGGAGCUAAUACCGGAGAAUAUAUUGAACCGCAGGGUUCAAUAGUGAAAGACGGUUUUGCUGUCACUUAUAGAUGGAUCCGCGCCGCAUUAGCUAGUUGGUAAGUUAACGGCUUACCAAGGGGACGAUGCGUAGCCGACCGGAGAGGGUGAUCGCCCGCACGGGAACUUGGACGCCGUCCAUGCUCCUGCGGGAGGCAGCAGUCGGCUAUCUUCCGCAGUGGGCGAAAGCCUGGCGGAGCAGCGCCGCGUGUGUGAUGAAGGUCUUCGGAUCGUAAAGCUCUCUUAUUAGUGAAGAACCGAUGUGUCAGUAACUAUGCACGUCUUGACGGUACCUAGUCAGAAAGCAACGGCUAACUACGUG